rnacentral:tRNA from 1 species
ACCUAAAUAGCUUAAAUUUAAAGCGUAGUAUUGAAGCUGCUAAGAUAAUUAUUUUUUAGGUG